CUCUGGAGUUGCCCCUCCAUUUUCUGUGCUCAAUAAGUGAGCAGAGAAGGAUCUACUCUCAGGGUGCUGACAAAAUCAAGUGUGUGACCAAGCCCAGAAUGGGGAUACGUUCCAGAAUGCAGCGCCUCUGAGGUGAGCCAGCUUGACCUGACAGCUUCAGAGCCUGUCUUCUGGCUAGGGAGGGAGCUGACACUUCCAUCUGGAGCCAGGAGCAGGAUGUGAGCUCUGCACAAAGAAGAUCCGUCCCUGAAACCCUGCUCCCCGCCUCCUCCACAGCACAGCAGCUGGCUUCCUGGGGAAUCAAGUGACAGCCAGACUCCAGGGAACCGAGCUAGCAAGACCGAAUUCUGGGGGGGUGAUCCACAGUGACAGAAGAGGCUUUGGCGUGGAUAGCUCAGCAGGGCAGCAGGGGCAGGGCCAGUUAACCCACAGAGGGACAGACAGUCUCAGGACUGUGGCCUCCUGCUCUGCUCCAAUGGGCACCGUCAAUUGUCUCAUAAUUCCCUGCUUCUAUUAGCAUUCAGGACCUGAAAAUGACCUUCUUUUGCUGUUUUCCUGACCACAAGGUGGAUUCUGCCCAUCAGGGCCUCCCUUUACCUUGGCACACAAGGGCCUCCAUCCUGGGGCACCCUCCCACCUGCCCCACCCCUCCAACCUAACUACUUGCCAUUUCCCAAAUACAUCGUGCAGUGCCUGGUGUCUAUCCUGUGGUUCAUGCUGCUUCCUCUGCCUGCAAUAUCCUUUCCCUGCAAUAGCCUCUUCCACCCAGCAGACGCCUCCUCACUCUCUUGGCUCAGCUCUAAGUCAUAUCCCCUAGGGAAGCUUACCAGGAUGCUGCAGUCAGAUGGAGUGUCUCCUCCUGGGCCCCCACAGCCCCUGUACUUCCUUCUGUGACAGCAACAAUCCCACAGCAGUGGAACUGCUUACCUGCCUGAGCUCCUGGAGGGCAAAGAUGCCAUGUGCUUCCUAGUUCUGAAUCUCAAGCUCCUAGCACAGAGCAUGGUGGGAAAAAAAAAGUGCUCAACAAAUACAUGCUGAAUUUAACUAAAUUUGGUAGAAGGUUCAUUUUCCCACCAGCUCUCACAGCUCACAGAUUAGGAUUCCACUGGAAUGUAUAUACAUACUAAAUCAUGUGUAUCUAGUUUUUUUUGGGUAGUGGAUUUAUUGAGAUUGAAUUUCUAUAACCAUACAAUUCACCCAUUUAAUUUCAAGUAUACAAUUCAAUGUUGUUUGUACAUUCACAGACUUGUGUAAUUAUAACCACAAUCAAGUUUAGAACAUUUUCAUCUCCUCAAAAAGAAACUCAUACCCAUCAGCAUUCAUUCUCCAUUUACCCCCUUCCCCCAUUCCCUGGUAAUCACUCAUCUAUUUUCUGGUCUCCAUAGAUAUAUCUGUUCUGGACG
rnacentral:lncRNA from 10 species